rnacentral:lncRNA from 1 species
ACAGGAACACCACCUCCGAUUUAAAGUUUCAUGGCAACUCAGAUGCUGUAGAGUUUCUUGGAAGGUUCAACGUGGAGAUGGGUGUCUACCAGAUACCGGAUCCUGUCAGGUGUAGACUUCUUGCGGCCACAUUCAGAGAUAGUGCCUACCAAUGGUUCCGGAAAUUGGAACCAGCAUCCAUCACUUCUUGGACAAGCAUGCAGACUAUGUUCUUGACUCAGUUCCAGGCAACCGUCAAGUACGCUCCACCGGUC